rnacentral:rRNA from 1 species
UGGGGAAUAUUGGACAAUGGGCGAAAGCCUGAUCCAGCCAUGCCGCGUGUGUGAAGAAGGUCUUCGGAUUGUAAAGCACUUUAAGUUGGGAGGAAGGGCAGUAAGCGAAUACCUUGCUGUUUUGACGUUACCGACAGAAUAAGCACCGGCUAACUCUGUGCCAGCAGCCGCGGUAAUACAGAGGGUGCAAGCGUUAAUCGGAAUUACUGGGCGUAAAGCGCGCGUAGGUGGUUCGUUAAGUUGAAUGUGAAAGCCCCGGGCUCAACCUGGGAACUGCAUCCAAAACUGGCGAGCUAGAGUAGGGCAGAGGGUGGUGGAAUUUCCUGUGUAGCGGUGAAAUGCGUAGAUAUAGGAGGGAACACCAGUGGCGAAGGCGACCACCUGGGCUCAUACUGACACUGAGGUGCGAAAGCGUGGGGAGCAAACAGG